UACGGAGGGUGCAAGCGUUAUCCGGAUUCACUGGGUUUAAAGGGUGCGUAGGUGGGAAUGUAAGUCAGUGGUGAAAUCUCCGUGCUUAACAUGGAAACUGCCAUUGAUACUAUGUUUCUUGAAUUUUCUGGAGGUAAGCGGAAUAUGUCAUGUAGCGGUGAAAUGCAUAGAUAUGAUAUAGAACACCAAUUGCGAAGGCAGCUUGCUAAACGAUCAUUGACGCUGAGGCACGAAAGCGUGGGGAUCAAACAGG
rnacentral:rRNA from 1 species